rnacentral:tRNA from 1 species
GGGAAGGUAGCUUAGCGGUAGAGUGCAUGCCUUGCAAGCAUGAGGCGCCCUGGGUUCUAUUCCU